CCUACGGGAGGCAGCAGUGAGGAAUAUUGGUCAAUGGCCGUAAGGCUGAACCAGCCACGCCGCGUGAAGGAAGAAGGAUCUAUGGUCUGUAAACUUCUUUUAUAGGGGAAUAAAGGUAUCCACGUGAGGAUAUUCGCAUGUACCCUAUCGAUACAGAUCGGCUAACACCGCGCCAGCAGCCGCGGUAAUACGGAGGAUGCGAGCGUUAUCCGGAUUUAUGGGGUUUAAAGGGUGCGUAGGUUGUUUUUUAAGUCAGCGGUGAAAGUUUGUGGCUCAACCAUAAAAUUGCCGUUGAAACUGCAAGACUUGAGUGUGUUUGAGGUAGGCGGAAUGCGUGGUGUAGCGGUGAAAUGCAUAGAUAUCACGCAGAACUCCGAUGGCGAAGGCAGCUUACCGGCGCCCAACUGACGCUGAAGCACGAAAGCGUGGGUAUCGAACAGGAUUAGAUACCCUUGUAGUC
rnacentral:rRNA from 1 species